rnacentral:rRNA from 1 species
CCUACGGGUGGCAGCAGUGGGGGAUAUUGCACAAUGGGGGGAACCCUGAUGCAGCGACGCCGCGUGAGCGAAGAAGUACCUCGGUAUGUAAAGCUCUAUCAGCAGGGAAGAAAAUGACGGUACCUGACUAAGAAGCCCCGGCUAAAUACGUGCCAGCAGCCGCGGUAAUACGUAGGGGGCAAGCGUUAUCCGGAUUUACUGGGUGUAAAGGGAGCGCAGGCGGCCUGCCAAGUCUGGUGUGAAACCCCGGGGCUCAACCCCGGGACUGCAUUUGAAACUGGCGGGCUGGAGUGUAGGAGGGGCAGGCGGAAUUCAUGGUGUAGCGGUGAAAUGCGUAGAGAUUAGGAGGAACACCGGUGGCGAAGGCGGCCUGCUGGACGAGGACUGACGCUGAGGCUCGAAAGCGUGGGGAGCAAACAGGAUUAGAUACCCCGGUAGUC